rnacentral:tRNA from 1 species
GGAGGUUAAACUCCUCCCUNGUG